UACUAUACACCAAAAUGUCAUAAAAAAUACAAUCACAAGCUUCCUCAAGAAUGAUUGGAAGAUGUGAUUCAUCAAAGCUUGGAAUGUUGCAGGAGCAUUAGUGAGGCCAAAAGGCAUCACUUUGAACUCAAAAUGCCCACGAUAUGUUUUAAAGACUGUCUUAGGAAUGCCUCAGCAGACUCAUCUAGCUAACUGACAAAUUCAAUUAGCUCACUACAG
rnacentral:misc_RNA from 1 species